ensembl:misc_RNA Metazoa_SRP Metazoan signal recognition particle RNA
GUCAGGUAUAGUCACAUGCACCUGUAGUCCCAGCUACUUGGGAGGUUAAAGCAGAAAGUUUGCUGGAGUCCAGGAGUUCUGGGCUGUUGUGUGCUAUGCCAAUUGGGUGUCCACAUUCAGUUCAGUAUCGAUAUGCUAAAAGCAGGGAACCAACCAGUUUGCCAAGAAGGAAUAAACUGGCCUAGGUUGGAAAUGGAGCACUCCAAAAUUCCCAUGCUGAUCAGAAGUGGGAUCACACCCAUGAAUAGCCACUGUACUCCAUCCUGAGCCACAUAUGAGACCUCAUGUCUUAAU